rnacentral:rRNA from 1 species
ACGAACGCUGGCGGCGUGCUUAACACAUGCAAGUCGAACGGAAAGGCCCUGCUUUUGUGGGGUGCUCGAGUGGCGAACGGGUGAGUAACACGUGAGUAACCUGCCCUUGACUUUGGGAUAACUUCAGGAAACUGGGGCUAAUACCGGAUAGGAGCUCCUGCUGCAUGGUGGGGGUUGGAAAGUUUCGGCGGUUGGGGAUGGACUCGCGGCUUAUCAGCUUGUUGGUGGGGUAGUGGCUUACCGAGGCUUUGACGGGUAGCCGGCCUGAGAGGGUGACCGGCCACAUUGGGACUGAGAUACGGCCCAGACUCCUACGGGAGGCAACAGUGGGGAAUAUUGCACAAUGGGCGGAAGCCUGAUGCAGCAACGCCGCGUGCGGGAUGACGGCCUUCGGGUUGUAAACCGCUUUCGCCUGUGACGAAGCGUGAGUGACGGUAAUGGGUAAAGAAGCACCGGCUAACUACGUG